rnacentral:rRNA from 1 species
UACAGAGACUGCAAGCGUUAUUCGGAUUCACUGGGCGUAAAGGGUGCGCAGGCGGCCGUGUGUGUGAGGCGUGAAAGCCCGAUGCUUAACAUCGGAAUUGCACCUCAAACUACACGGCUAGAGCAUUGGAGAGGGUAGCGGAAUUCACGGUGUAGCAGUGAAAUGCGUAGAUAUCGUGAGGAACACCAGUGGCGAAGGCGGGUCUCUGGACAGUUCCGUGACGCUGAGGCACGAAGGUCAGGGGAGCAAACGGG